rnacentral:ncRNA from 1 species
UCAACUUUGUCUGAACUUAUACAUGCAAGUAUCCGCAGCCCUGUGAGAAUGCCCUGCAUUGCCCGUAAUCGGGAAAGAGGAGCUGAUAUUAGGCACAACCCUGCGUUCGCCCAUGAUAUCUUGCUUAGCCACGCCCCCAAGGGAAUCCAGCAGUAAUAAACAUUAAGCUAUAAGUGCAAACUUGCCUUAGUUACCAUCAAGAGGGCCGGUCAACCUCGUGCCAGCCACCGCGGUUACACGGGACUUGGGCCCUAGCUGACAGAAUUCGGCGUAAAGGGUGGUUAGUAGAAGCCUAACUAAAGCCGAACACCUUCUAAGCUGUUAUAAGCUACUGAAGGCAGGAAGCCCCCCAACGAAAGUGGCUUUAAACCCUAUGACCCCACGAAAGCUAGGAAACAAACUGGGAUUAGAUACCCCACUAUGCCUAGCCUUAAACAUAAACAACUGCAUACAACAGGCGUUCGCCCGGGGACAACGAGCCUAAGCUUAAAACCCAAAGGACUUGGCGGUGCUUUAGACCCCCCUAGAGGAGCCUGUUCUAGAACCGAUACUCCCCGUUCAACCUCACCCCCUCUUGUUAGAUACCGCCUGUAUACCUCCGUCGCCAGCUCACCCCAUGAGGGGCCAAUAGUAAGCACAACUGGUAUAAACCUAAUACGUCAGGUCGAGGUGCAGCUUACGAGGGGGGAAGAAAUGGGCUACAUUUUCUGACCCAGCAAAUACGAAUGUUGUGCUGAAAAGACAUCUGAAGGUGGAUUUAGUAGUAAAGGGGGAGUAGAGCGCCCCCUUGAAAACGGCCCUGAAGCGCGCACACACCGCCCGUCACUCUCCCCAAACCCUGCAACCUAUAGAUAAUAAGCCUAAGCACACAACAGAGGGG